rnacentral:rRNA from 1 species
UUCGCCCUUAGAGUUUGAUCCUGGCUCAGAGCGAACGCUGGCGGCAGGCUUAACACAUGCAAGUCGAACGGGCUUCUUCGGAAGUCAGUGGCAGACGGGUGAGUAACACGUGGGAACGUGCCCUUCGGUUCGGAAUAACUCAGGGAAACUUGAGCUAAUACCGGAUACGCCCUUAUGGGGAAAGGUUUACUGCCGAAGGAUCGGCCCGCGUCUGAUUAGCUUGUUGGUGGGGUAACGGCCUACCAAGGCGACGAUCAGUAGCUGGUCUGAGAGGAUGAUCAGCCACACUGGGACUGAGACACGGCCCAGACUCC